rnacentral:lncRNA from 1 species
CUGAAGUUUCUCUAACAGAAUAUGAAUCCUGACGCAACAACAAGGAGAGGGAGGGAGAAAGCAGUGGGAAGAUCCUCAGAGUUUCUUUUCUCCAUACCGAUGUGAUCGUCCACGUCAGUGGGGCUCGGUCCAGUGCCUAGUGGCCUUCUCCCCUCCUGCCAGUGCCACAUGGACUUUUCUUCUGGGAUAGUGCAAAAAGCUUCCUCCUC